UCCCUCAUGGCUAAGAUGGUAAAAGCAUCUGCUUGCAAUGCAGGAGACCUGGGUUUGACCCCUGGGUGGGGAA
rnacentral:tRNA from 1 species